UGGAAAUGAAUCAAUUUUCAUUUAAUUUCUUUCGAGUAAAUUAAUUGUUGUUAAUUAAAAAGCUGUUAUAUUGUUUUUUCUUUUGUUUAAUUUACUUUAUCAUCAUCGUGUGAACGUAAUUAGUAAAAAUAAUAGUUGUUUUGUUUACCAUUCAAUUGGUUUUCUAUUACUUUUUGUCUUCACCUUUUUUGCUAAACUUAAAUAUUGACUUGUUCUCAAGGACAUGGAUUUUUUUAAUUAUGUGAUUCGUUUUUUUCCUUUCCGGUAAAUAGUAAUUCAAUUAGCCAAGUAAUUGGUUAAGAGUUGAAGAGUUACCGGUGUACCGAUAAUUAGGUAAUCAUGUAGAGCAUUUUUUUCGCCCUCGUUUAAUUAUUGGGAUGGUAAUUGGAAAACUUUACAAACUGGACCUAAUAACAUGUAACAAUGGACUUUGGAUGAAUCCAAAAUUUAUUGAUGGAAAGGAAUCAAAAGAGGAUAGAAAGAUAGAAAAGAGAAAUGAAAAAAAAAGAAGGAUCCAAUUCGAUUAGCAGAAGAAGGAACUAGAAUUUUUAACCCAGUGAAAUAUAAUAAGGAUUCGGUGUGUUAUAAUAUGAGACUCUUAAUGGUUAGUUACAGUGACCUAAAAAUAAAAAUUGAUCCAAAAUGAUGGCAAAGUAAAAAGGGGAUUCAGUUGAUUCAGUCAGUCUCAGUGUUUGAACAUUGAAAGAUGAUUAUUUGAACACUUGGUUAAUACACACACACAUACACACUGGAAUAUUGAUUAGCCAACCAACCAAUCAACUAAGUUAAAAAUAUCAAUUUCAGGGAUCAGAUAUUAGUCCUGAACCUGAGAUACCCUGGAUCAAGGACAAAACUGUGGCAAUUUACGCACAAUCAAGAAAAUACAAUUACGACGAAAGCAAAUGAAGAAUCAUAAACCCUUUACCAGCAAUAAAUACAAUGCGAUAACAAUAACAAGAGGAUCAAGUGAACCAUUAAAUACCAAAUCCAUUGGACAAUUAGCCAAGAAAAUGAGCCUGACGAUUAUGUUAAUUAUCAUUAUUGUAAUCAACAUGAUAAUCAAAAAAUGAUGAAACGAUUUGCUGUUUUAUUGUUACUCAUUAGACAUUAUUAUCAUCGUCAUUACUACGUUAUUACAGUUAUAGACCCUAUUGUUAUUUAUUAUUUCAUCUGACAAUUAACUAACCAACCAGCCAAUCAAUUGACAUUGAAUUUGCACCAACCAUCAACACACAGAAUUAACAAUGAUACACUGAUCAUAAUAAUAGAAAAUUUAAUUUCAAGGUUACAUGGAAGUCAAUUCACCUUCUUCACCUUCAUCUCUCUCUCUCUCUCUCCUUGAUUGUAAACAACAGUUAUGAUGAUGAUAAUAAUCUCGAUGAUGAUAAAUGAUGAUAAUGAAAUAAUAACAAAAGAGGUAGAAAAAAAAUCUCAAUCGGAAAUUAUGAUUUCUAAUUAUCCUUGAUUAUCAAAAGGAAAAAAAAGAUGAGAUGAGAUUUUGUUGUUGUUUUUCCUUUAAUCAUCAAUUUCAUUGAUUAGUUGAUUGUUGAAAUGAUUUAAAUGACGUUAACUCUCAUUAUCGAUUAACAAUCAAAAUAAAUUCAUAUUUUUCCCUCAAUAAGUAAUCAAAUUACAGUUGAAAACCUUAAAACCAAAGUUGUAAAAUUGUCAAUCCAUUGGAUGAUUAGUUAAUUGUAACUGUUUUUUUUUCAUUUCCGAUUCGAACAAUUAAUUUUCAAAUUUCCCUUCUAAUAACAAUUAACUUUUACCUUGUUGGUAUUUAAUUGUUUAAUUGUGAUAAAUUUAGUUGGUCAUCAAUUGUGAUGAAAUUAGAUGAUUAGUAUUAAUUAUUGUUAAGAUCUCGCUAAAGGUAAAUUGUUAAUUAAUAAAUUGUGUGUCUGUAAACAAUAAUGAUCAAGGUCAAUGUUUAUUAACUAAUUAAAAGAAGCUCAGAUUUUGUAAUAA